GGAAGAACGUGAACCCUUUCGAACGUGUAGUGGGCCAAUCAAUGAACGAUACACUUUUGGACACGGGUGACGACGUCCAAUAAUGUCUCGCAACUCUGGAUGGUCGCAUGCUGUUGGACACAUGGAGGAGAGAAUCGUUUUCGCAGUAUUCUCAAAACCGUGUAUUUUUGACACAACUGCUGACAGCUACAUGGACAUAAACACAAAAAAAUGCUGCUUGAAGACAACUGUCCACGAUAGUAGUGAGCUUGUGCUAGAUGUGGCUAGUUAACGUUAGCUAGCUAGCUAACCUAGCCAAUGAGGUGUGUGUGUGUGAAAGAAAUAGUCAUAUAAAUUAUGCUAGUUUACUACCCCUGAUAACGUUCCCAAAUAAUCAUGUUUGAAAGAGUGUGAGUGUGUAUGCUAGAUAAAUAAUAAUAGAAAUGGUAGAUACUACUGCACCCCUGAUAAUUUGGCCAAUUAACCGUGUGUGUACAGUAGGUGACAUGUUCAUGAUAGAUAUCUAAUAACUAUAGUUAUGCUAGGUAAUGGUUUGGCUUAUCAUGUUCAUGUCUAUGUAGAAGAAGACUGUAAGAGGAAGUGGAGAGGACUCAGGGACAGGUAUCAGAGAGAGAAGGGCAGAGAAAGACAAGAGGUCUGGGUCAGCAGCUUCAGGCCAGCAGCCUUGGCGCUUCUGCCACAUUCUUUGUGGAUCCAUUUAUUGUGCCUAUGGCAACGAGUGGCAAUUUUACAGCCAGACCCUCUACUACGUCAUCCACAAGUGUUGUCACCACCGGUGCAUCAAGACCCUCAACAUCAUCUACAAGUGCGACCAUCGCCUCCACCGGUGCAGCGAGACCCUCUACAACAUCUACAUCAUCCACAAGUAUGACCACCAACCAGUGCAGCCAUGGAAGAUGAUGAAAUGGAGGAAGCACCCCUGGAUCUAGGACCACCUGAGAUUAUUAUGAACCUCACGGAAGUGACUACUGAGGACCUCGUUGAACAGGAUGUGGCCGUGGAGCCAAACGAGGAGAGAAACAGAGAGGAACAACGUCACACCAGGUGUCAUCGGAGGUACCAGCGCCCAGAUCCACUCAACUCAUUUCAGUAGAGGCUCCUCCAAGCCGUCGAGAGGGAUGCAGCCCAACCUGAUGCUCACAGGAAGGAGGAUGAAGAGACCCUCUUUGCAAUGAGCCUGGUGCCAACACUGAAGAGGCUGCCUCAGCAAAGAAAAGCGGCAGUCAAGGUUAAAAUGUAUCAGCUGCUUUUCUCCACAUCACAGAGAUGGAGUCCAUUUAGCCGACCAGCUCACAGGAAGGACAGGAAGAGGAGAGGAGUUGCCGGGGCCGACCAGCUCACAGGAAGGACAGGAAGAGGAGAGGAGUUGCCGGGGCCGAC